CCUAACAAUCAACUUAAUACUAAUUAAAUGGAUAUCGAUCACCGAUUAUUAAGAAACUAAUUAAUUUCCAGCGGAUCCGAUAGAUUUUUAACCCAUUUACAAAUAAUUGGUGUUUAUGAUUUAGAACAGACAGUUUUUUUUGUUUUCUGAGUGUCAACCUAUUGUUUUUUAAACACUUCCAUACAUCGAAUAAAAAUUAUUAUUGAUAGUAGGUAUUGAUAGUAGCAAU